CACGGAGUUAGCCGAUCCUUAUUCCCAGGGUACCGUCAAAACUCCACACGUGGAGUCGUUUCUUCCCCUGUAAAAGCAGUUUACAACCCAUAGGGCCGUCUUCCUGCACGCGGCAUGGCUGGAUCAGGCUCUCGCCCAUUGUCCAAUAUUCCUCACUGCUGCCUCCCGUAGGAGUCUGGUCCGUGUCUCAGUACCAGUGUGGGGGAUCUCCCUCUCAGGACCCCUACCUAUCAAAGUCUUGGUAAGCCGUUACCUUACCAACUAACUAAUAGGACGCAUACUCAUCUUUUACCGCCGAAGCUUUAAUCUAAAAGUGAGGCCACUUCUAAAUACUAUGGGAUAUUAAUCCGGGUUUCCCCGGGCUAUGCCCCUGUAAAAGGUAGAUUGUAUACGCGUUACGCACCCGUGCGCCGGUCGCCACCAUCCGAAGACGUGCUGCCCCUCGACUUGCAUGUGUUAAGCCUGCCGCUAGCGUUCAUCCUGAGCCAGGAUCAAACUCU
rnacentral:rRNA from 1 species